ensembl:rRNA 5S_rRNA 5S ribosomal RNA
GGCCACAGCCAUAUCACCCUGCAGCCCAAGACUGGUUUCCCACUGAAGCUAAGCAGGGUUGAGCCUGAUCAGUACCUGGAUGGGAGACCUCCUGGGAAAACUAGGUUGCUGUUGGAA